ensembl:lncRNA
AGUGGUCUUGAGGAGCAGCAGCUAGCCAUGGCUCAUGGAUAUCUCAAUGGCUGCCUGCUUCAGCAGAGGUUUUGCUGUAAGGGUGGAGUUCAUUUCUUUUGUCCUUGGAAGUUGAAUAGCAGAAAGGGACAUUUCAGCUUUUCUUGAUAAAGGGAUGGACCUUAUCAAUGUUUACAUGUACCUGAAGGGAGGAUCCAAACUGAACCGAGCCAAGUUCUCUUUGUUGAGUGCCCAGUGCCAGGACAAGAGGCAGUGGGCAUAAACUGGAACACAGGAGGUUCCUUCUAAAUACCGUACAGCACUUCUGUGUAUAUGGCACACUGGCACAGGUGCCUAGAGAGGCUGUAGAGUCUCCUCCUUGGAUUUUGUAAGCUUUGCUGGAACACACUAUGAGGUAUUUAUAGCAGCCCUAUACCAGAUGCAGGCAGAAGGAUGAUACAUGAUCUGGCACAAACUCUACCAAGAUGAAAUUUCUUUUUCAGAAUCUUAAAAUGUAUUUGUAGCAGAAGAAUGGCUUUGUACCUCUUCUGCUUUUUUGUGGUAUGAAGUUUUUGCAACCUUUGUAGAGUGACUGGGCAACAUGAAGCUGCAGUUACUAUCUCAGUGAACCAUGGCUUAUGAUUAUUUUUACUACACACUGAAUAUUAAUAUAUCAAUUUGAUAUUAAAUAUUUGAACACUAUUGAAAUAAGUUUGUCAGCUAGCAGUUGUCAGGGUAUGGUUUGAGAUUUCCCCCCUCUCAUUACAGUAAAGAUGAAGUUUUUCACACUUU